CCCAACCAAAAUGAUCUCAAUUCAUCAAAAGAUCAAAAGUUAUCAAAGAAUAUAUAUAUAAUCUUCCUAAAAAUACAACUCAUUUUCCGAUCUCUCUUUCUUCCACAAGCUAAGCUAGGAGGAAAGAGGGCAAAUAAAUCUAAAUUUUAGGUUACUAUUUGAUUUAUAUCCGCUCUAGUUUUGGCUUUGACAAACAAUUUCAAUUAAAGAUGGCAAAGGAAACUAGAAAUAUACGUUCUUGGGUAGAGGUUGUUCCAGCCCUCAUAACAUAUCGACGAAAACCUUCACAUACAUCUGGAUUAGAGACCAUCAGAGAAGAGAUCAACGAGGGGUUUGACGAUGACACAUAAUGUAUCUUCUAUGUAAAAUUCAUCACCUUGGAGCAACGGUAAAGUUGUAUCCGUGUGACCUAUAAGUCACGAGUUCGAACCAUGCGAGCAGCGACUAAUGCUUGCAUCAGGUAGGAUGUUUACGUCACACCCGCUGGGUACGGUCCUUCCCCGAGCCCUACAUGAAUGCAGGAUUUUUUUGGUGCACCGGUCCGCUCUUUUUUUAUUGUCAAGUGUAGUGAAGCUAAUCUCUUUUUACAAAAUGUGUAUACAUUCUGAAAGUAGCUCUUAAUUAGCUUUGGUCGAUGUAAGAUUGAAGUUUUUGGCCCCAGCUGAAGAAUCGGAGAAUAUUUUAGCUAGAGGGAUUAAUGCAUAUUUUGCUUUUUAUUAGCUUUUCGUUGUUUCAUAUGUGCAGUGAACUAACAAUGCUUUAGAUUAUUAAUAGAGUUUAAUGGUAUUAUUUAGAACUUAGAAUCAUUGCUAUCAAAUAAUCUGAUGAGGAUAACAACUUGAAGUUUUUGCCCCUUAAUUUUAAAAACCAUACAACUGGUGAGUUUGGUUUAGCUGAAAAUGUUUUUCUUAUAAAACAUGUUCUAGUUUAAUUACUUGAAUAGUUGAAUUAUUUUUCCAAGGGAAUUGCUUUAUUUCUGUAAAAGGAAGGAAUAAUUUCCUUCAUCUGUGAAAGUUAAUUACUUUACACAUUUAAACUUAAAUGCCAUUGCUAUUGUUGACUAGUAGGCAAGUUACACAUUUGACCUUGUAUACGGUCGAAAUAGAUUUCAGCCUUGGCAUGUCCGAUCGAGUUCGAAGGGUGAUGUAUCGAAAUAAGAUCCCGAACGGGGGACGAACUAACCUCGAACCNNNNN
rnacentral:lncRNA from 1 species